GGGGGAAACCCUGACGCAGCAACGCCGCGUGGAGGACGAAGGUUUUCGGAUUGUAAACUCCUGUCCUCUGGGACGAUAAUGACGGUACCAGAGGAGGAAGCCACGGCUAACUACGUGCCAGCAGCCGCGGUAAUACGUAGGUGGCAAGCGUUGUCCGGAAUUACUGGGCGUAAAGGGCGUGUAGGCGGUACCCUAAGUCAGAUGUGAAAACCCGGAGCUUAACUUCGGAACUGCAUUUGAAACUGGGGAACUCGAGUGUCGGAGAGGAAAGCGGAAUUCCUAGUGUAGCGGUGAAAUGCGUAGAUAUUAGGAGGAACACCAGUGGCGAAGGCGGCUUUCUGGACGAUAACUGACGCUGAGGCGCGAAAGCGUGGGGAGCAAACAGGAUUAGAUACCCUGGUAGUCCACGCUGUAAACGAUGGAUACUAGGUGUGGGAGGUAUCGAACCCUUCCGUGCCGCAGUAAACGCAAUAAGUAUCCCGCCUGGGGAGUA
rnacentral:rRNA from 1 species